CCGCGCCGGCGCCGACCGACCGCCCGUCGCCCCCACCGUCGUCCCGGAGAGAUGAUCAGCGCGUGCGCGGCCGCCGGCGUGCAUGCAGAUUUGAGUAUGUAGAGCAGGACCUUGGACUCAUCGGUGUACAGUUUUCUUCCCCGUCUUUCUUUCGUUCUUGUCAUGGCCGUCGGAGUGUGAAUCGGAAUCGGAACAGCAGUUUGGUAGCAGCACUACGGAAGUUUUAACUGAUUUGCAUAUGCUUUGCUUGAUGAUUUGGUUGGUUGGUUGGCAGGCCGUUUCAGAACGCGGGAUUCCCAUUCGGAUACAAUUUCCACAUGGAUUUGAGUUUGCCAUGUAGUAGUAAAAUGAAGUGUAUUACUGAUUACUACUUACAUUUGGGGGCUCAAUUUUAGACCACCCAGCACUGUCAGACUCUGGUAGAGAGAGAAAAAAUGUGAAAAUGAUCUCGGUACUUGUAAUGCUGAUGUGCUUCGCAAUAAAUUGAACGAGCCAGUAGCUUGCACCAUUGAUUUUUGGAACCCGAAAUGUCACGGGAAGGGAAGUGUUGCGCGGCUCUUUGAUUGUAUCUAGCGUGACACCUUGGAAUGGACGUCUUGGGCAUCGUAGAUCAUGAUAGCCGAGGCAAGUGGACCGACGGCGAGAGGUUCAGCUGCCGGACGGGCCCUCUUCAUAUUCUUUAUGCUACAACUAGUAUACUCCUAGUAGCAGGAGUGAGCACUUAGCAGACGCA
rnacentral:lncRNA from 1 species